AGAGUUCGAUUCUGGCUCAGGACGAACGCUGGCGGCGUGCCUAACACAUGCAAGUCGAACGGAGCGCUAUUGAAGAACUUUUCGGAGGGAAUCGAGAGCAGCUUAGUGGCGGACGGGUGAGUAACGCGUGAGGAACCUGCCUUUCAGAGGGGGACAACAGCUGGAAACGGCUGCUAAUACCGCAUAAUGCAGCGGGAUCGCAUGAUCCUGCUGCCAAAGAAUUAUCGCUGAAAGAUGGCCUCGCGUCUGAUUAGAUAGUUGGUGAGGUAACGGCCCACCAAGUCGACGAUCAGUAGCCGGACUGAGAGGUUGACCGGCCACAUUGGGACUGAGACACGGCCCAG
rnacentral:rRNA from 1 species